UUACGGGAGGCAGCAGUUAGGAAUCUUGCGCAAUGGGCGAAAGCCUGACGCAGCGAUGCCGCGUGCGGGAUGAAGGCCUUCGGGUCGUAAACCGCUUUCAGCAGGGACGAUAGUGACGGUACCUGCAGAAGAAGCCCCGGCCAACUACGUGCCAGCAGCCGCGGUAAUACGUAGGGGGCGAGCGUUGUCCGGAUUUAUUGGGCGUAAAGAGCUCGUAGGCGGUUUGGUAAGUCGGGUGUGAAAUCUCCACGCUCAACGUGGAGGGGCCACUCGAUACUGCCAUGACUCGAGUCCGGUAGAGGAGUGUGGAAUUCCCGGUGUAGCGGUGAAAUGCGCAGAUAUCGGGAGGAACACCCGUAGCGAAGGCGGCACUCUGGGCCGGAACUGACGCUGAGGAGCGAAAGCGUGGGGAGCAAACAGGAUUAGAUACCCUAGUAA
rnacentral:rRNA from 1 species